AUUGAACGCUGGCGGCAGGCCUAACACAUGCAAGUCGAACGGAUGCACAGUGCGUGCUCCUGGUUUCAGGUGCGGACUGGCGGGUGAGUGCUAGGAACCUGCCUAUCUGCUGUUGAUAACGGGCGAACACGGGCGCUCAUACGCCAUUCGUCCUUACGACGUAAGGGUGAGAGCAUGGGACCUCCCGCUAUUGCGUGAUCCUAUGACCCGAUGUCGGAUUAGCUAGUUGGCGGGGUAAAGGCCCACCAAGGCGACGAUCCGUAACUGGUCUGAGAGGAUGAUCAGCCACACUGGAACUGAGACACGGUCCAGACUCCUACGGGAGGCAGCAGUGGGGAAUAUUGGACAAUGGGCGCAAGCCUGAUCCAGCCAUACCGCGUGUGUGAAGAAGGCCUUCGGGUUGUAAAGCCCUUUUGGUGGGGAAGAAAAGCAGCAGGUUAAUACCCCGCUGUUCUGACGGUACCAAAAGAAUAAGCACCGGCUAACUUCGUG
rnacentral:rRNA from 1 species